rnacentral:rRNA from 1 species
AUUGAACGCUGGCGGCAGGCCUAACCCAUGCAAGUCGAACGAGUGGCGGACGGGUGAGUAAUGUCUGGGAACAUGCCUGAUGGAGGGGGAUAACUACUGGAAACGGUAGCUAAUACCACAUACCAUCAGAUGUGCCCAGAUGGGAUUAGAGAGUUGGUGGGGUAACGGCUCACCAAGGAGACGAUCCCUAGAGGGUCUGAGAGGAUGACCAGUCACACUGGAACUGAGACACGGUCCAGAUUCCUACGGGAGGCAGCAGUGGUGAAUAUUGCACAAUGGGCGCAAGCCUGAUGCAGCCAUGCCGCGUGUAUGAAGAAGGCCUUCGGGUUGGAAAGUACUUUCAGCGGGGAGGCGUUACCCGCAGAAGAAGCACCGGCUAACUCCGUGCCAGCAGCCGCGGUAAUUC